rnacentral:rRNA from 1 species
UAGGUGAACUUGUGGAAGGAUCAUUG